rnacentral:lncRNA from 1 species
GGGUCUCUUUCCAGAUAAAGGAUUCUAGACAUUUGAUCACAUCUCCACUCGUGAUCCAAAUGUCACACUCCACAUCCCCGGUACAAACCACCAUGUAUCCCUAGGCAUCUAUACUCCACCUUACCAAAAGACAUUUAACACACUGCUAAUGCAUUCUAACCCACUAUGCAUGCAAGAAAUUACACCAAGUAAUCCUAAUGUCUCAAAUUCAUGCAAAUGCACAUAUCAAACACAUUGAGAUGUAGCAGAUAAUCACGCAACAAAAUUUAGACAAUCACACACAUGCAGAAAAGGAUCACACACAAAUGCAUAUGCAGUGACUAGGUUUACACUUAAUAAACCUCACUGGGGUCAUAACUAGACCCCUCAACCAAAUU